rnacentral:rRNA from 1 species
UACGUAGGGUGCGAGCGUUGUCCGGAAUUAUUGGGCGUAAAGGGCUCGUAGGCGGUCUGUCACGUCGGGAGUGAAAACACGGGGCUUAACCCCGUGCCUGCUUCCGAUACGGGCAGACUAGAGGUAUGCAGGGGAGAACGGAAUUCCUGGUGUAGCGGUGAAAUGCGCAGAUAUCAGGAGGAACACCGGUGGCGAAGGCGGGUCUCUGGGCCGAUACUGACGCUGAGGAGCAAAAGCGUGGGGAGCAAACAGG